rnacentral:lncRNA from 1 species
UAGCAACGACCCUUCAUCAACCAGGGAUCCUCGCACGCCUCCAGCUAAUUGUUCGUCUCCAACUAACUGCCCGCCACCAGUAAACCAGGUGCCCCCGACCACACAAACUCGAGCGAAUGUUACUAUCGUGGUGACCGUUGGAGCCGCCCUCGACAACGUUUCUUAGAACCCCCCUAAUCCAUAUUGAGAAAUCAUUGGAGGCUGCUGGUGCUUCGGCCCCUCCUUUACACAAGAAAAGGAAG